rnacentral:misc_RNA from 1 species
GAGAUUGGCCUAACGGCCGUGUCUUCAUCCACACACAUCGUGAACCGUCUUGGAGCUCUUGGGGCUCUGAUAAACACCAAAACAUCUGAUGUGAUGAAUGUGAACUAUUGUAACAAAAACA